GCAUCUCUUGCUGGAGAUUCCUGCCUACCUGAGGCCCUCUGAAGAUGUGGUGCAGCCUGGCCUCAAAGCUGUGGAGAGCCACCUCCAAUCCCAGCCUGGCACAUGCAAUGAAGGAGGGAUGUCCAUCCUGUUGAUGGGAACUGCAAAUAAAGGCUCGAGGCACCCACUCUCCUGCAGGCUUCAAAGGUCCAUGGGCCGUACAAACAGCAGGAAAAAAGCAGUUCCAGCUUAUGAACGCACCCGUAGUGCUGCUCCGUUGUUCUCCUUGAUUGAUGACAAGUGUUUUGGACAUCAAUAUUGCGGCUCCUCAGUUCUGCUAAUGUUGUGAAUAAGUACCCGCAGAAAACAAAACAGAGACCUAGUUGGGAACAGAUGCCCUAAUUCUAAUGGAGGAGCUUCCCACCAGCUCCUUUAGAGCCUGCUUCUUUAAAGCCUGCUUCUGAUGUGGGCUUGCUGCUCUCUCCGUAUGCUUUGCAGCUCCUCUGCACACCCCACAUCACAGACACACAUUUUUAAUUACCCCACCUUCCCUUCGUCCGGAUUGCUGCCACCCCUCAGCUACACUCUAUGAGGGUUUCAAGGAGCUGGUUUACGCAUGGGAUGUAUGCAUGGGAUGUCAGGCAUACCUUCCGAAGAUGCCCACCAUAUGGUGCUGGGCUCCAUCUCUGAGGGCUGUGUUGUUUCCUCCAUGCUGGUUUCAAAAGGCACCGUCUCCACUUAAGCAAAAUGUGGUUUUCCUUGGCAGUGGUGCAGCAGCUCUCAGCCUGAAAGCAGGGAGCUCUGCCACCGAGCAGACAAGACUUAUUUAUCCUCACAGUCCCCUCAUCGCAUGUGACGAUUGCCACGAUAAGACAGUCCUAUGCAAAUGGCCAUAAUUAUCUGCUAAAAGUACGUAUUAUUCAGUAACACAGCCACGAGAGAAGGCGUCACAUGGGUGCAGUUACAUCUGUGCAGGAAAGCAGUACGGAUUUAUUACUGAGCUGCCGUAGAGGAGGCUUCCAUUUAAACAGACGUAGUUACAACUCAUGUAACUAAGUUGUGUAGCACUGAGCCUGCAGCAGCAGGGCCUGCAGAGGGCUGGUGCUGCUCCACGCCAUGCCCAGCUGACCCUCAUUUACAAAUUACCUUAGGAUGUGCAGCUUCUUUGGCUCUGGGAAGUGGGCAUUCAUUGGUUCCAUAUAAAUAAAUCUCUACUGAACAAGUUGUAGCAUCUCACUCAGAGCAGAGAAAUGACAUUGAGUGAGCAAUAAACGUGGUGACCUGAGUGUGAUGUCUGUAUCAGGAUAAUAAGGGUUGUCCUCCUGCUGAAUGAAUGGCCUUGCCCUCUGGAGCCAAACUUUCGUUGUGUACGAAGACGUGGGGGAAUCCUAAUAAAGAGACGACUGGUAAAUGUU
ensembl:lncRNA